AAAUGCUGACAUCACAAGGUGAACCUGCGGAAGGAUCAUUA
rnacentral:rRNA from 1 species